rnacentral:rRNA from 1 species
ASGAUGAACGCCGGCGGUGCGCCCUAAUACAUGNAAGUCGAACGCGUUGGCCCAACGUGAUUGRACGUGCUUGCACGGGACUUGACGUUGGUUUAACCAGCGAGUGGCGGACGGGUGAGUAACNCGUAGGUAACNUGCCCAAAAGSGGGGGAUAACAUUUGGAAACAGAUGCUAAUCCCGCAUAACAAUUUGAAUCGCAUGAUUCAAAUUUAAAAGNUGGUUUCGGCUAUCUCUUUGGGGUGGCCUGCGGCGCAUUGGGUUGUUGGUAGGGUAACGGCCUACAAAGGUUGUGAUGCGUAGCCGAGUUGAGGCUGAUCGGCCACAUGGCUGGCACGGUCCCAUACUCUACGGGGGCCGCAGUGGGAAUUUCCACAAUGGGYGCA